rnacentral:ncRNA from 1 species
AACGACCGGCCGGUCACUCGCGUGUCCGGCCCACAAGUGGAGGCUCCGAACUCCCACCUCCCGACCAUUUUGGGUCGGCAGGUCAACGGUCAGGCUGCGCCCCGCGGUGACAUCGCGGCGGUGCUCCCGGUCAGUGAGGAGCCCCGCCUGUGUACCGUCCGGGGUGUUUUGU